rnacentral:rRNA from 1 species
CGGUAUGCUUAACACAUGCAAGUCGAACGGCAGCAUGUUUUAUCUUCGGAUAGAAUGAUGGCGAGUGGCGGACGGGUGAGUAACACGUAGGUAUCUACCUUAUAGUGGGGGACAACUUGGGGAAACCUGAGCUAAUACCGCAUAAUCUCUACGGAGUAAAGCUGGGGACCGUAAGGCCUGGCGCUAUGAGAUGAGCCUGCGGCAGAUUAGCUUGUUGGUGGGGUAAUGGCCUACCAAGGCGACGAUCUGUAGCUGGUCUGAGAGGAUGAUCAGCCACACUGGGACUGAGACACGGCCCAGACUCCUACGGGAGGCAGCAGUGGGGAAUUUUGGACAAUGGGCGAAAGCCUGAUCCAGCAAUACCGCGUGUGUGAUGAAGGCCUUCGGGUCGUAAAGCACUUUCAAUUGUGAAGAAAUGCAUACGGUAAAUAGCCGUAUGAGCUGACGUUAACAAUAGAAGAAGCACCGGC